rnacentral:lncRNA from 1 species
AUGGCUUCACCAGCAACAUUAAGCAUAAGAUAAAUGUAAAAAUACACAUCAUACAAUUCAGAUGUAUAUUUUCUUGUUUUUUACGUUUUAUGAUUUUUUUUCUAUUCUUUUGGAGCUUCAACAGAGCCAAUGGCGAAAGCAAGUGAAACUGUGAAAGGAUGGGAGUUCUGCAAGCCGGCAUGUGCAAAUUUGUACGUUUAUUAAACAAAAAAUACGAGCAAUAAUCAACAUAAAAAAAAUUAAUGAAAAAUCAAAAAUCAAUAUGAAGUCUAAUAAUGUGUUGAAUUGAACCUCAGGUAUGCAACAUAGAGCAUCACAGCAGCUUAUGAGGGAAUGCAAUCUGGUUCAACACUUGUAGGUAUAUAUUCUUGCAACUGCAAAAAUAUGUUGUUUCAGACAUAAGAAAAAC